rnacentral:lncRNA from 1 species
UCCCCGAUUCACAUCUUGAAUGGAAGGGCCUUCUUCCCCUUCCUCGAGCUUUGAUACCCCGAGGCUCUAGAAACAGGUUAUUCAUGGCUGCUAGAGUCUCAUCUUCCUAUGAUAUGACAUCAGCAGGCAGAAAUGUCUGCUCUAACUGGGGUAGUGGCAGCUCCAGUGGGUAGUAAAGACCGUGCCUUGGUGGAGACCAGUAGUGGAAGUCCUCCCAAGUGUAUUCAUAACCGAGGCCGAAAGUGGUUCCAUGCUUCUUCAACUGGAUGGGCUUGGUGAUACUCUAGAGAUUCUUGCCAAGCCCCUUUCCGGGCUCGUACCCGCUCCAAUUUAGAAUUCUUUCGAUUUUUCUAUCUCACCACUUAUCCUUGUCUAUGGCAUUGACUCGCUCGAUGUGAUGGUAUGUUUCUUCACCGAUUCUCCUUCUUCCUCCGAUCAUCGAGAUAGCCUGGAGACUGUAUAUGGGGUUGCUACCGUCGCCAUGAAUGAUUACUUCUUGAUGAUUCCACAAAAAUUUCACAGCUUGAUGCAAUGUUGACUCCACAUCCCCAGCGGCGUGGAUCCAAGGUCUUCCUAGCAAUAAAUUGUAGGACGUUGGUACGUCAAUGACUUAGAACUCAACGUUGAAGCAGGUGGGUCCCAUCUGCAGGCAUAAGCUAACCUCUCUGGUGGUGGACCUCUGAGAUCCCCAUCCCUGAUGUCGUGCAACCCUUUUCCCAAUGUCC